GGCCUUUUUGUGAAUUAUUUAUAAAAGGUAGGCCUACAUAAAUGUUCCAGAAAGGGUAAGCCUACAUGUUGCUAUGUUUGGGGCUAAAGUUAUUUUUAACCAAUACCCAGAUAGCAAGGUGACAUUGAUAUAAUGUUGAUUUUCCAUCCAAAUCAUCAUUUUGGUUGAGAUUGAAAUCUCAAUGGUAAAUAGACAUUGAAUCAGCAUUACAAUCCUGACAAAACCCCGACAGUGCAUGAGCAUAGAUAGAGAGACAUCGAAACAACAUUGGUUUAUAGUUUAUAUUGCCAUAAUCGAUAGAGCAUCGAUACAUAGUUCAGUAAAAGAUAUUGAAAAGUCAUGGACAUUUUGACGUGGUGAUUGAAAAGUAGUGGAUUUUUAGUUGACUGCGCGACGACGUUUGAACUGUCCGGCGGGAGAUCAUUUUGAGCAACGGAUCAGUCAGACCAACCGUGUUCAGCUCUCUGUCAAGUUCGCCGCUUCACCUUAAUGGUGCCGCUUCACUCAACUGGAUGGUCAGGCUGACUGCAACCGUAGGCCUACUGAAUAGAUGGCAGGGAAGCACAGCACACGGGAAUUUAUAAAUGAAGAAGAGUGAAUAAAUGCACUUGCUUUUCAAACUGAUAA